rnacentral:rRNA from 1 species
AGUGGCAGACGUGUGAGUGACGCGUGGGUACCAUGCCUUAUACAGGGGAUUACAGCCGGAAACGGUUGCUAAUUCCGCAUAAGCGCACAGUACUGCAUGAUACAGUGUGAAAAGAGUUAUCGGUAUAAGAUGGACCCGCGUCUGAUUAGCUAGUUGGUGAGGUAACGGCUCACCAAGGCAACGAUCAGUAGCCGGCUUGAGAGAGUGAACGGCCACAUUGGGACUGAGACACGGCCCAAACUCCUACGGGAGGCAGCAGUGGGGAAUAUUGCACAAUGGGGGAAACCCUGAUGCAGUGACGCCGCGUGAGUGAAGAAGUAUUUCGGUAUGUAAAGCUCUAUCAGCAGGGACGAUAAUGACGGUACCUGACUAAGAAGCCCCGGCUAACUACGUGCCAGCAGCCGCGGUAAUACGUAGGGGGCAAGCGUUAUCCGGAUUUACUGGGUGUAAAGGGAGCGUAGACGGCUAAAUAAGUCAGAUGUGAAAGCCCAGGGCUCAACCCUGGGACUGCAUUUGAAACUAUGUAGCUAGAGUGCAGGAGAGGUAAGUGGAAUUCCUAGUGUAGCGGUGAAAUGCGUAGAUAUUAGGAGGAACACCAGUGGCGAAGGCGGCUUACUGGACUGUAACUGACGUUGAGGCUCGAAAGCGUGGGGAGCAAACAGGAUUAGAUACCCUGGUAGUCCACGCUGUAAACGAUGAAUACUAGGUGUCGGGGCCCUUCCGGGCUUCGGUGCCGCCGCUAACGCAUUAAGUAUUCCACCUGGGGAGUACGUUCGCAAGAAUGAAA